UAUUUUUUAUUUUUAAAAGGGCGUCCCGAAUUUAACACGAGUUAUCGAUAUCCACCCAACAUAGCGAUGAAUUCGGUGACUCGAUGCUAAACCGAUUCGUUGCCUUAUUUAUUAAAAUUAUUUAAAAUAAAAUUAAAAUUGAAAUUGAAUUAAUUAAAUUAAAAAUAUAAAUGCCAAAAUAUGAAAAUGCAUAAAAUACUAAUAAUAUUAAAACGAAAAAAUACAAGCAUUAAAUUAAAAAUUAAAAAAAAAACGAAAUAACCGAAAAAUCUCGAAACACGAACUUCACCGAACGGGUAACACAAAUUGGAGUCUUUUUUUUUCUUUUUUUUCUUUUUUCCUUUUUCCUUCUUUCUCUUUUUUCUUUUUUCCUUUCUUUCUCUUUUUCUUUCUUUUUUAUUUUUGGUCUCUUGGGCCGGCCUGCUGGUGCGAAUGGGCCUGGCUUGCUGGGCUGGCUGUUGAGGAACAGCUGGUCUGGGCCUUGGAACAGCUGGGCCUGCUGGCCUGCUAAACUAGGCCUACUUGUUUUUUUUCUUCCUUUUUCUCUUUUUUUUUUAAAACAAAAGGGCUGCUAAUAAAUUUUUUUUUGGGCUUGGGGCUGUUGUGGGCUACUCGGGUCGGGUGUGGGUCGGAUCCGGGUCGGCCGGUCGGGUCGGGUUGACCCUAUUGUUUUAAUUUUUUCUUUUUUUUCUCUUUUUCUUUUCUUUUUCUUUUUUCUUCUUUUUCUUCUUCUUCUUCUUCUUCUUCUUCUUCUUCUUUCUUUAGCUUGCGCCGCCGCUUCCUUCACGCCGUCGUCUGUGCUGCUGUCGUCGUCUCCUCUCGGUGGUGCGCCGAUAGCCCGCCUCUUCUCCUAUUCUCUUUUUCUCAAAGCUUUUCUCUUUUUUUUUUUCCGAAACUUUUCUCCUUUUUUUUUUAAAAAUUCGUGGGCCUUUUAUUUUGGGGGUUUAAACCCCUUUUUAUAGCUGACUUUGCUUCUUUUUUGCAGGUGGUAGGUGGCUAGGGGAGAGGGAGGCCAUGCCCUAGGCCGGCGGCCGGAAAUCACGGGGGUAGGUGUGCAAGUUGCUGCCAGAAGGACUAAAAUGCAAAUGCAGGAAAAGUUUUAGGGCUAAAACGUAAUUUUGAGAAAGUUUAGGGGUCAAAAUGUAAUUUCGAGAAAGUCUAGGGGUCAAAAAUGAAAUUUUAAAAGUUUGGGGGUAAAAUGUAAUUUUUUAUUUUUUUGUAUUUUUUUGAUUUUUUUUAAAAAC
rnacentral:lncRNA from 1 species